CCCUUAGAUGUUCUGGGCCGCACGCGCGCUACACUGAUGAAUUCAACGAGCCUAGCCUUGUCCGAAAGGUCCGGGUAAUCUCUGAAACUUCAUCGUGAUGGUGAUAGAUCAUUGCAAUUAUUGAUCUUCAACGAGGAAUUCCUAGUAAGCGCAAGUCAUCAGCUUGCGUUGAUUACGUCCCUGCCCUUUGUACACACCGCCCGUCGCUUGUACCGAUUGGAUGGUCCGGUGAAAUCUUCGGAUAGCUGGUAGUUGGCUUGCCAUCUACUGCUAAAAGUUGCUUAAACCUUAUCAUCUAGAGGAACAAGAAGUCGUAACA
rnacentral:rRNA from 1 species